GAUGAAGAACGUAGCGAAAUGCGAUAGGUAAUGUGAAUUGCAGAAUUCAGUGAAUCAUCGAAUCUUUGAACGCACAUUGCGCCCCCUGGUAUUCCGGGGGGCAUGCCUGUUCGAGCGUCAUUACAACCCUCAAGCUCUGCUUGGUAUUGGGCCCCGCCAGUUCUGGCGGGCCCUAAAGUCAGUGGCGGUGCCUUCCGGCUCCGAGCGUAGUAAUUCUUCUCGCUCUGGAGACCCGGUUGUGUGCUUGCCAACAACCCCCAAUUUUUUAAGGUUGACCUCGGAUCAGGUAGGGAUACCCGCUGAACUUAAGCAUAUCAAUAAGCGGAGGA
rnacentral:misc_RNA from 1 species